rfam:Anisakis simplex genome assembly, scaffold: ASIM_scaffold0001437
CCAACGGUUCUCUUUAGAGCCACCAAGCUAAUAAACCAAACUUUGU